GCAGACACUGAUUAUUGAACGUUCCAUUAAGGCAUGCAGAAAGACAUUUUUGUCUCAAAAGACAACAAAAGAUAAGCUUUUAGCAGAUGCUGUCUUGCUGGGAAAAAGAAGAGCAAGAAAGUUUCACUGUCAUCACUCCAACUGAACUCAAUCUUAGAUUAAGGACGAAGCAAGAAACAACAUAAGAGAACUGCACAACAGUAUAUGCAUGUGUGGUGUUUUAUGUCAAAUAAGUUAGGAGCAAUGUCAACAUGUAGCAUACUAGCAUUCAAGAUGAUAAAUUUGAGUCACACCUGGCCCAUGAAGGAACAAAUUUA
rnacentral:misc_RNA from 1 species